CUCGCACUCACAAGUAGGGAGAGAAUGACGCCACGUGGUUCUUUCUCUGUGAUGAGUGCGAAAUUAAAACAUACUUUGUCGCCUUUGACUUGUUAUUGCAUGUCGAAGUGAAUCAAAGUAUGACAGCC